CACCCCGCGGGGGGGCGGGGCGAGCCCUGGUCGCCAUCUUGGCGCGCGCGGGCUUCCCUCCCGGGCCGCCCACUGGAGUGCGCUGUGUUCCGCUUCCCGUGGCAUCCCGCCGAGGUAACCCGCGGCCCGGGUCCUGGCUGGUCGCUCGAGCAGGCCUCCCCAUCGCCGCCACGAUGCCCUGCGUGCAGCUGCCCGCCAAGGAGAGCGCCCUCUUCAAGCGCGUGCUGAAAUGUUAUGAACAGAAGCAGUACAAAAAUGGCCUCAAGUUUUGCAAGAUGAUUCUUUCUAACCCGAAGUUUGCUGAACAUGGAGAGACUUUGGCUAUGAAAGGAUUAAUACUGAACUGUUUAGGAAAAAGAGAAGAAGCAUAUGAAUUUGUUCGUAAAGGACUUCGCAGUGACGUCAGGAGUCAUGUCUGUUGGCAUGUAUACGGCCUCCUGCAACGUUCUGAUAAGAAGUAUGAUGAAGCUAUUAAAUGCUACCGAAAUGCCCUCAAAUUAGAUAAAGAUAAUUUGCAAAUCUUGAGGGAUCUCUCUCUAUUGCAGAUUCAGAUGAGAGACCUUGAAGGUUAUCGAGAGACGAGAUACCAACUUCUUCAGUUGCGCCCAACACAGCGUGCUUCCUGGAUUGGAUAUGCCAUCGCUUAUCAUUUGCUGAAAGAUUAUGAUACAGCGCUAAAGCUAUUAGAAGAAUUUAGACAAACGCAGCAAGUUCCUCCCAACAAAAUAGCUUAUGAAUAUAGUGAACUGUUACUAUAUCAGAAUCAAGUGAUGAGAGAGGCAAAUUUAUUUCAGGAAUCUUUGGAACAUAUAGAAACAUAUGAGAAGUUGAUAUGUGAUAAACUUUUGGUGGAAGAAAUUAAGGGGGAAAUGCUGUUGAAAUUGGGAAGACUAAAAGAAGCCAGUGAAGUAUUCAGAAACUUGAUUGAUUGGAAUGCUGAAAAUUGGUGUUAUUAUGAAGGCUUGGAAAAGGCAUUGCAACUUCGUUCUCUAGACGAGAGGCUUCAGCUUUAUGAGGAAGUCAGCAAGCAGCACCCCAGAGCAGUUUCACCCAGGAGGCUGCCGCUGAGUUUCGCCCCAGGUAAGAAGUUUCGAGAACUCAUGGAUAAGUUCCUGAGACCAAACUUUAGCAAAGGGUGUCCACCUCUGUUCACUACUUUGAAAUCCUUGUAUUGUGAUACAGAAAAGGUUUCAAUAAUCCAGGAACUUGUUACUAAUUAUGAAGCCUCUCUUAAAAUGAAUGGCUAUUUUAGCCCUUAUGAGAACGGGGAGAAGGAACCCCCAACAACUCUAAUCUGGGUCCAGUAUUUCCUGGCACAGCAUUAUGAUAAACUUGGGCAGUAUUUUCUGGCUUUGGAAUAUAUUAAUGCUGUAAUUGCUAGUACUCCAACUCUAAUAGAACUAUUCUACAUGAAAGCAAAAAUUUACAAGCAUAUGGGUAAUCUCAAAGAAGCCGCACAGUGGAUGGAUGAGGCACAGUCUUUGGACACGGCUGACAGGUUCAUCAAUUCCAAAUGUGCCAAAUACAUGCUUCGAGCAAAUAUGAUAAAAGAAGCAGAGGAAAUGUGCUCCAGGUUCACAAGGGAAGGAACAUCUGCCAUGGAGAAUCUGAAUGAAAUGCAGUGUAUGUGGUUUGAGACGGAGUGCAUUUCUGCCUAUCAGCGCCUGGGGAGAUAUGGGGAUGCCUUGAAAAAGUGCCAUGAAGUAGAGAGGCACUCUCCUUCUACAUGGACCACAGGAGGAAAGGAGCCGCAAAUGCACCCCUGAGGCAGUCCUCAGCAGCCCUCAGUUGUGGGGCACUCGGCACCACUCUUCCCCUGCUGACGCAGUAUAAACCCACAGGCGUCGUAGUCAGCAUUUUCUUGAGAUAACCGAUGAUCAGUUUGACUUCCAUACAUACUGCAUGAGAAAGAUGACCCUCCGUGCUUAUGUUGGCCUCUUGAGAUUAGAAGAUGCUCUCAGAAGACAUACUUUUUAUUUCAAGGCUGCUAGAUCAGCAAUUGAAAUAUAUUUGAAAUUACAUGAUAACCCUUUAACCAAUGACAGCAAACAACAAGACAUAGAUUCAGAAAACCUGUCAGCCAAAGAAAUGAAGAAAAUGCUUAGCAAGCAAAGAAGAGCUCAGAAAAAGGCUAAGGUAGAAGAAGAGAGAAAGCACACAGAAAGGGAACGCCAACAGAAAAACCAAAAGAAAAAAAGAGAAGAAGAAGAAGAAGUUACCAGUGGUCAUAAGGAAGAACUUAUUCCUGAAAAACUAGAAAGGGUUGACAAUCCAUUAGAAGAAGCCAUCAAGUUCCUCACUCCUCUGAAAACCCUUGCUGCUGAGAGCAUUGAUACCCACCUGCUGGCCUUUGAAAUAUAUUUUAGAAAAGGGAAGUUUUUGCUAAUGUUGCAGUCUGUUAAACGAGCCUUUGCCAUUGAAAGUAAUAAUCCUUGGUUACAUGAAUGCUUGAUUAAGUUUUCUAAAUCUGUCUCUAAUCACAGUAAUCUUCCAGACAUUGUGAGCAAAGUUCUAGCUCAAGAAAUGAAGAAGAUAUUUGUCAACAAAGAUUUGCACAGCUUUAAUGAGGAUUUCCUCAGACACAAUGCUACCUCUCUUCAGCAUCUACUUGCAGGUGCUAAAAUGAUGUAUUUUCUGGACAAGUCAAGGCAAGAAAAAGCAAUUGCUACAGCCACUAGGUUGGAUGAAACUAUAAAAAAUAAAAAUGUGAAGACUCUAAUAAAGGUGUCUGAGGCCCUCCUGGAUGGCAGCUUUGGGAACUGUAGCUCCCAAUAUGAAGAGUAUAGGAAGACCUGCCAUAGCCUGCUCCCACUCACACCUGCUUUCCUGCCUGCUGCGAGGGAAGCCCUCGGUCUCAGUGCUGAGCUGAACCACACAGCUGACCACAAGCUCUUAAUGAAUGAAAUUUGAAUCUUGUGGGAAGUUGCUCCUAAGACUCAAAGCUGAAUUCACAUCAGGUUUCUUUUUCACUGUACAUUUUAAACUGGCGUAAAAUAAAAUAUUUGGAUAGAAGGGGUUUUUUGUUUGUUUGUUUUUUGUUUUGUUUUGUUUGGUUUGGUUUGGUUUUUUCGAGACAGGGUCUCUCUGUGUAGCUCUAGCUGUCCUGGAACUCACUAUAGACCAGGCUGGCCUACAGAAAUCCACCUGCCUCUGCCUCCCGAGUGCUGGGAUUAAAGGUGUGAGCUACCACGCCCGGCUCUGGAUAGAAGUUUUAAAUGGAAUAUUGUGUAAACUUAUUUUAUGCUGUGUCUGGCCUUCAAUUUACAUGGACAUCUGUUACAGGUACUUGUUUAUACUUGUACAGUCUUAUACUUCUGAAUUAUGAGUGUUGUUGCUUCUGUAUUAUAUGCUUCAGUUGCUGAUUAAGGUAUAGACAGCUUUCUGACACUAUUUUCUUUAGGUCCUAGUUUCAGAAUCUGUUUUGACCUCUGGUUUAUUUGAUUAUUUUGAAGGGUUAACUGAAUGUUAAGAAAUAGCCAUAUUUCUCAUUUUGGUCGAUAAUGUGAUUUGUCCCCUUUUUACCUUAACUUGUAUGAUUAUUUCCUUUGUCAUAGCCAUAAAAGUGAUACUUUAUGGUUGAAUAAGGAUACACCAGUGUUAUGUUGAUGAUUCCGAAUGUGAAGACUGGUUUGCCUCUUAGUCAUGUAAAUUUAACAGUUAAAUUUGUUGUGUAUGUAGUCUAGUCUUACAGGCGAUUGGGUAGGAAUUGUGUUUUCGUGGUUGAGCUGCUUGGAGACUUAGCAAGCAGCUACUCUGAGAGGUUUUCUUCAAGGGAGGAGGACUUGGCAGAGUACACACUAGAACACAGCACUACCUCCCUCACAGCCCUUCAGUGAAGUUUUAGAUCUCUCAGAUGAGACCUUAAACUACAAUUAAACUAUUAACUCAUAGUGCUGUUGGACAGUAUUUGAGGGGAGCCCUUUUUGCCAUAUCUACAUCAUGGAAUCACUCCAUUUCUCAGUGUCAAUAUGUCUGUAAAUCUACCUGAUAUAAACCCAGAGAGAUGAUUUUAUUUAGACAGUUCUAAUUAAAGUGGUUUUCCUUUAUUUCUUAGAUUCAUAGCUAUUGAAGAGGAAAAAAGAUCACUGUAAAAUAAUGCCAACCUAGACAAUGCUACAAUAAAUUAUUUCAUGCAGA